GUGGGGAAUAUUGGACAAUGGGCGAAAGCCUGAUCCAGCCAUGCCGCGUGUGUGAAGAAGGUCUUCGGAUUGUAAAGCACUUUAAGUUGGGAGGAAGGGCAGUAAGUUAAUACCUUGCUGUUUUGACGUUACCGACAGAAUAAGCACCGGCUAACUUCGUGCCAACAGCCGCGGUAAUACGAAGGGUGCAAGCGUUAAUCGGAAUUACUGGGCGUAAAGCGCGCGUAGGUGGUUUUGUAAGUUGGAGGUGAAAUCCCCGGGCUCAACCUGGGAACUGCAUCAAAAACUGCAUGACUAGAGUACGGUAGAGGGUAGUGGAAUUUCCUGUGUAGCGGUGAAAUGCGUAGAUAUAGGAAGGAACACCAGUGGCGAAGGCGACUACCUGGACUGAUACUGACACUGAGGUGCGAAAGCGUGGGGAGCAAACAGGAUUAGAAACCCGGGUAGUCC
rnacentral:rRNA from 1 species